AGAGAUGGAUUCCUUCAGUUCGGCUGGAUCUUAGGCAGGUGUUGCAUGGCUGUCGUCAGCUCGUGUCGUGAGAUGUUGGGUUAAGUCCCGCAACGAGCGCAACCCUCGCCUUUAGUUGCCAUCAUUAAGUUGGGCACUCUAGAGGGACUGCCGGUGAUAAGCCGGAGGAAGGCGAGGACGACGUCAAGUCAUCAUGGCCCUUACGAGCUGGGCUACACACGUGCUACAAUGGUAAAUACAAUGGGAUGCAAUACAGCGAUGUGGAGCAAAUCCCCAAAAUUUACCUCAGUUCGGAUUGUUCUCUGCAACUCGAGAGCAUGAAGUUGGAAUCGCUAGUAAUCGUGGAUCAGAAUGCCACGGUGAAUACGUUCCCGGGUCUU
rnacentral:rRNA from 1 species